ensembl:snRNA U1 U1 spliceosomal RNA
AUACUGACUACUCAACAGUGGAGAUACCAUGAUAAGGAAGGUGGUUUUCCCAGGACGAGAUUCCUCCACUGCAUUCCGGAUAUGGAUCCAAAAUCCUUGUGAUUUCUCCAAAUGUGGAAACCUGGACUGCAUAAUUUGCAGUAGUUCGGGAG